GAUGAACGCUGGCGGCGUGCCUAAUACAUGCAAGUCGAACGCUGGAAAUCUAGCUUGCUAGAUUGAAGGAGUGGCGAACGGGUGAGUAAUACAUAAGCAACCUACCCACGAAGACUGGGAUAAUCUCUGGAAACGGGGACUAACACCGGAUAGGUAAUCGGAAGGCAUCUUCUGAUUAUUAAAGGUUAAAAACACUGGUGGAUGGGCUUAUGGCGCAUUAGUUAGUUGGUGAGGUAACGGCCCACCAAGACGAUGAUGCGUAGCCGGCCUGAGAGGGUGAACGGCCACAUUGGGACUGAGACACGGCCCAGACUCCUACGGGAGGCAGCAGUAGGGAAUUUUCGGAAAUGGGGGAAACCCUGACCGAGCAACGCCGCGUGAGUGAUGACGGCCUUCGGGUUGUAAAGCUCUGUUGUAAGGGAAGAACGGUAGAUAGAGAAUAUCUAAAUGACGGUACCUUACCAGAAAGCCACGGCUAACUACGUG
rnacentral:rRNA from 1 species